UGGGGAAUCUUGGACAAUGGGGGCAACCCUGAUCCAGCCAUGCCGCGUGAGUGAUGAAGGCCUUAGGGUCGUAAAGCUCUUUCGCCUGUGAAGAUAAUGACGGUAGCAGGUAAAGAAACCCCGGCUAACUCCGUGCCAGCAGCCGCGGUAAUACGGAGGGGGUUAGCGUUGUUCGGAAUUACUGGGCGUAAAGCGCACGUAGGCGGACCAGAAAGUUGGGGGUGAAAUCCCGGGGGCUCAACCCCGGAACUGCCUCCAAAACUAUUGGUCUAGAGUUCGAGAGAGGUGAGUGGAAUUCCAAGUGUAGAGGUGAAAUUCGUAGAUAUUUGGAGGAACACCAGUGGCGAAGGCGGCUCACUGGCUCGAUACUGACGCUGAGGUGCGAAAGUGUGGGGAGCAAACAGGAUUAGAUACCCUGGUAGUCCACACCGUAAAACGAUGAAUGCCAGUCGUCGGGUAGCAUGCUAUUCGGUGACACACCUAACGGAUUAAG
rnacentral:rRNA from 1 species